rnacentral:rRNA from 1 species
GAUGAACGCUAGCGGGAGGCCUAACACAUGCAAGCCGAGCGGUAUUGUUUCUUCGGAAAUGAGAGAGCGGCGUACGGGUGCGGAACACGUGUGCAACCUGCCUUUAUCUGGGGGAUAGCCUUUCGAAAGGAAGAUUAAUACUCCAUAAUAUAUUGAUUGGCAUCAAUUAAUAUUGAAAGCUCCGGCGGAUAGAGAUGGGCACGCGCAAGAUUAGCUAGUUGGUGAGGUAACGGCUCACCAAGGCGAUGAUCUUUAGGGGGCCUGAGAGGGUGAUCCCCCACACUGGUACUGAGACACGGACCAGACUCCUACGGGAGGCAGCAGUGAGGAAUAUUGGUCAAUGGGUGCAAGCCUGAACCAGCCAUCCCGCGUGAAGGACGACUGCCCUAUGGGUUGUAAACUUCUUUUGUAUAGGGAUAAACCUACCCUCGUGAGGGUAGCUGAAGGUACUAUACGAAUAAGCACCGGCUAACUCCGUGCCAGCAGCCGCGGUAACAC